UUUACAAUUAUAACAAGCAUGUGCCAAGGAUUAAUAAAUACGUACAUCCUCCCUUCUUCAUUGAAUGAUCAUUGACCUUCUUGAGGAGGAGAAAAGUGGCCUAAACUAGGAUACAUAGCAUUAAAUUAAUGUUGUGGUUGGACAUCUGACAUACUUAAUAAAAUGAAGAAUUAAGAGACCAUGUUUAGAAUGCAUACGAAAAGGGGAGUUCUGAGAACAGUAGCAGCCUAGCAGGGAUCGUCACCAGAUUCAAUUAAUAAGCUUUAAGAGAGCCUCAAAAGAGGUGCAGUAUAAAUGCAUGUCAUAAAGGCCAUUAUUGUAGUUCUUCUGAAAUCGAGCAUCAGCUAUAUUUAAUAUCAUAUUUAUUGUUUUGAUAUCAUAAUAAGCUUAAGUGAUUUGGCAGCUUAAUUAGAGAUUUCCUUUGUUCCUGACGUGCCUUUUUGGAUGCUAUGAAUCUUGGAGAAUUUUGGAACUCCAUUUGUGCUGGGAGAAGAAGGCUUCAUUCAUGUCAGUUUAAUCUUAGUUGUGAGAAUAUAUUUGAAGCUUAUUUGCUGUUCGCCAGUAAGCAUACUAUGGUUUGGGAAGGAUUCAAAGGAUUGGUUGUUCUUAUUGGAGUAUACAUUUCGGGAAAGCAAGAAAGAAGAUUUUUUUUAUAAUACAGUUCUGAUAUUCAGAGCGAAAAUAGAGAAGUCUACAAAUAAAAUAAGCCAAAUCAAAAGUGUCCAAUACCGGGUUCUAAGCAAUAUUCUUAUACGAAAGCAUCAAUUUAACCCUAUUUCAAUUCAAAAGUAAAGGUAACAGGGCUCACAAGGCCUGUCGGUCCCUACUGGCAAGAUAGAUCCCGAAUUUGGAGAACUAGGCUAGACUUUUCCUGUUGAGUGUUGAAGUGGUGGUAACUAAGUUUCAUUGGGUUGCGGUUGUCACUCCCCGCGUAGGAGAUGAAGGAUCUCAUGUUGAGAAUCCUCCAGAAUCCUCCAUCCAAUGCACUCAUCUUCCAAAGAAUGAUCCAAGCCAAGCGGGGUAAUGCCUUAUGGAGUAGGAGGAUGCAGAGGUUUGAUGACCUUGCUGGCUCUGAAAAUAUAUCUAGAUGGGUUGCUACGGAUGGAAGACCGACUAUCAUAACUACUACUUGGCAUGCUUGAGCGGGAUCUGAAUAGCUCCUGUAUGGAAUAUGACCCAGCUGGUCUACAAGGGCUGUAAUAAAAGACACUUGUUUGUUCACAGCGAGAUUUGAAGAGCAGUUCAAAUUUUGGGGCAUUGUUAAGCUCCUCUAUGUCCACAGCGAAUAAUAGCCGUAGGAUCUGGAUGGCCUCGAUUUGAUUUCCCAUGAGUAUUUACAUAGAUGCAAUACAAUUUUUUAUGUAUUUUCGAAUAUCUAAAUAUGUAUUUAU